UACAGAGGUCCCAAGCGUUGUUCGGAUUCACUGGGCGUAAAGGGUGCGUAGGUGGUCGGGUAAGUCCGAUGUGAAAUCUCUGGGCUCAACCCAGAAAUGGCAUUGGAUACUAUUCGGCUAGAGGAGUGGAGGGGGGACUGGAAUACUUGGUGUAGCAGUGAAAUGCGUAGAUAUCAAGUGGAACACCAGUGGCGAAGGCGAGUCCCUGGACACUUCCUGACACUGAGGCACGAAAGCUAGGGGAGCAAACAGG
rnacentral:rRNA from 1 species